UACGUAGGGGGCAAGCGUUGUCCGGAAUCACUGGGCGUAAAGCGCGCGCAGGCGGUGCGAUAAGUCGUGGGUGAAAGGCCGAAGCUCAACUUCGGGACUGCCUAUGAUACUGUCGUGCUUGAGGAUAGGAGAGGCAAGGGGAAUUCCACGUGUAGCGGUGAAAUGCGUAGAGAUGUGGAGGAACACCUGUGGCGAAGGCGCCUUGCUGGCCUAUAACUGACGCUGAGGCGCGAAAGCGUGGGGAGCAAACAGG
rnacentral:rRNA from 1 species